rnacentral:rRNA from 1 species
UGGGGAAUAUUGGACAAUGGGCGCAAGCCUGAUCCAGCCAUGCCGCGUGAGUGAUGAAGGCCUUAGGGUUGUAAAGCUCUUUUAGCAGGGAAGAUAAUGACGGUACCUGCAGAAAAAGCCCCGGCUAACUUCGUGCCAGCAGCCGCGGUAAUACGAAGGGGGCUAGCGUUGCUCGGAAUUACUGGGCGUAAAGCGCACGUAGGCGGACUUUUAAGUCGGUGGUGAAAUCCUGGAGCUCAACUCCAGAACUGCCUUCGAUACUGGGAGUCUUGAGUUCGGGAGAGGUGAGUGGAACUGCGAGUGUAGAGGUGAAAUUCGUAGAUAUUCGCAAGAACACCAGUGGCGAAGGCGGCUCACUGGCCCGAUACUGACGCUGAGGUGCGAAAGCGUGGGGA